rnacentral:rRNA from 1 species
CCUAGGGAGGCAGCAGUGGGGAAUAUUGGACAAUGGGCGAAAGCCUGAUCCAGCCAUGCCGCGUGUGUGAAGAAGGCCUUAGGGUUGUAAAGCACUUUCAGUGGGGAGAAAGGUUGUUUACCUAAUACGUAAGCAAAUUGAUGUUACCCACAGAAGAAGCACCGGCUAACUCCGUGCCAGCAGCCGCGGUAAU